rnacentral:lncRNA from 1 species
CGAUCUGAAAUUUCUUGGGUAGGGUUGGGAUUCAAUUUUCUCAAUUUGGGGAUUUCCAGAUUCCGAACAGCAGCUCCUUCCAAACUUCUCAAUUCCCGAAAAUACGAGAGGUGAAUUUUUCAUUUUUAUUAUUUGUUGUGUUCUUCUCUUGCGUGAGUAUCAAUCUUCUUGGUAUAUAUAUAUAUAUAUAUAUAUAUAUAUAUAUUUUCCGAUCCGAUUGGUUUAUUUUUGUGUUCAAUUCUUGGGUUUGUCUGUUUUGUCCUUGUUAACCCCCAAAUUUCUUUUUCUUUUUUUGGCAUUUUGGUAAGCUUGUUGAUCGUCGUGUGGUGCGACAGUUUUCAGAAUUCGUGCUUUUUGUUUUUUGUUCUUUUGAUUUUUAAUUUUUCGAUUUUAUGUGUCUUUUUAAUUGAUUUCUGAGUGCAACUACAAUUUGGGAUUCUUAACCUUUUCUACUUUCUAAUUAGGGUUUUGGUAAAGAAAUCUUUUUAUUUGCCUAAUGCAUGUGUUAAUUAACAACACAUCUACAAUCAAUUUGCUCCAACCUGGGAGAAUCAUAAAUUUUCAUUUGCUUGUUUUAUGUGCAAUGGUGAGUAUUUAAACUAGAUUUUUUAGCUCAAGGGGAAGGAAGAAAAUGGGAAGAUAAAAAUUAAAAUUACGGAGCUGAGGGUUCUGUCAAGUUGAUGCCUUCAAACUUAUGUUUUACUAAUUGAUGCCUUGAAAAUUAGAGUUUCAAUUUUUGGUACUAAGAAAUAAUUUUGCAAUGCUGGUUAUAUUCCCCAAUGAGCUACCUUUAGAUGGUGUUAUCAAGUGUUUUACUCCCUUCAAAGAUCAAGGAUGAGAUUCGUGUUUGGGUGCUUGAUUGUUACUUUUGACAUUGAAUUUUAUAUCAGCCUUUACAGACUCCUUUUUCUUGUAUUAGACAGAACUUGUAUUGCUAUAGCCCAUAUCGGUCGGCGAGUUUUGUGCAGUUUGAGACACUGAGUGCCACAUAUUUAUGAUAUUCAAUUAAAUUGAACAUUAACUCAGGGACUCGCAUAUUGUAGUCAAGCUCGCAUGCCCUGUGAUAUGUAUAGAUAAAUUACAUUAUGUUGUAAAUAUAUAAGGUGGAGCUCACCUCCAAUUGGAAGGAGCUUUGCCUACAAAAGGGUUCACUCUUCUCUUUAUAAUGCCAGAUUGAUAAUACUAAGAGAGGAACCAAUUCAAGGGUUUUUCUCUACUUCUAAAUUCUCUCUCAAAUUUCUUGGUUUUCUAACACGUUAUCAGCACGAAAAGCUUUAUUUUAUCGCACAUUUAUUUAUACUACUAACCAUUGUAUAAUAUAUAUAUAUAUAUAUAUAUAUGAAAAGUUGAUGGUAAUAUAAUAUGCUAUAUCUAUUUACUUUUCUAUUACUAACCACUAACAAAAAAUGGACCUUUGGUAAUACUAAACAUAUUAUCAGUGGGAGACCGUUACUAAUACUAACAUUUUUUUUAUUUUAUUUGGUGGUGGUUUUAACCCCUUAUUUAUUUUAAUUACUGUAUGGUGUAGUUUUAUUACCCAUACGACAAUAUUUAUUUAAAAGGGUGGCGCGGGUUUAUCGUCCACGCCUUUCUUUUUAUUUAAGAUAUGGUGCGGAAUUAACGUCCAUAUAGCAAGUAAUUUAUUUUAUCGCACAUUUAAUUUUAUUUAAGAUAUGGUGCGGAAUUAACGUCCAUAUAGCAAGCAAUUUAUUUUACCGCACAUUUAAUUGUAUUUAAGAUAUGGUGCGCAAUUAACGUUCAUAUAGCAAGCAAUUUAUUUUAUCGCACAUUUACUUUUACUUAAAGUAUGAUGAGGAAUUAACCCUCAUACUUUAUGAAUUUACUUUACCGCACAUUUACUUUUAUUUAACGUAUGAUGCGGGUUUAUCGUCCAUACAAGCAAUUCAUUUACCAAUAAUUUAAUUUACAAGCAAUUUAUUUUAUGGAUUAAUUGUGUUGUAUGAUGAGUUUUUUUUUACAAGGAUACAGAUCAAAACCAGAAGUUUCUUGAUCCUCAUCAUACAAUUACAUCAGGACUUGAAGAUCCUUGAUGAUGAUAUUGAUAUGAGAGCUAGCAGUCUCUCCAGUACUAUAUUUGUAAACAUGUGAUCGGACUUGAGGGUCCUUGAUUCUUGAUAUGUAAAUAAGGACAUGGGGUUCCUUAAAUGAUGUAACAAUACUAUAUUGGUUAAUAGUGCCGUACACAUAAAAAUAACUGUAUUGGCAAAUGUACUGUACACAUGAAUAGUGCCAUAUACAUAAAUAGUGAUGUAUGCAUAAAUAUUUACCAUUUUGGGUAACUGUCACUAUUCAAAAGGGAACCUGCAGUUCCUUAAACUCAUGGAUGAGCAAUUAAAUAAGAUGUCAGAAGUUCCUCAAGAUAUGGACAAUUAUGUAAGGGCUUGAAGUCCAGAAAUAUGUACAGAAAAUUGUAAAAAUGUCCAUACCAUGAGAAUAUGUGAUUUUGGCUUGAGGUUCAAAAUCUAACAGUAUUGAGAACCUGAAGUUCCAACAAUUAAAUGGACAACCCUUGAGUUAUUAUUGGAAAUUGUGGUACGCCACAUAUUUCUUUGGCAUAAGAGAAUGAUGAAUUUAAUAAAGUUCGAUUCUG